AUUGAACGCUGGCGGCAUGCCUUACACAUGCAAGUCGAACGGCAGCACGGGGCAACCUGGUGGCGAGUGGCGAACGGGUGAGUAAUGCAUCGGAACGUACCUUUCAGUGGGGGAUAACGUAGCGAAAGUUACGCUAAUACCGCAUAUUCUGUGAGCAGGAAAGCAGGGGAUCGCAAGACCUUGCGCUGAUUGAGCGGCCGAUGUCAGAUUAGCUAGUUGGUGAGGUAAAGGCUCACCAAGGAGACGAUCUGUAGCGGGUCUGAGAGGAUGAUCCGCCACACUGGAACUGAGACACGGUCCAGACUCCUACGGGAGGCAGCAGUGGGGAAUGUUGGACAAUGGGGGCAACCCUGAUCCAGCAUGCCGCGUGAGUGAAGAAGGCCUUCGGGUUGUAAAGCUCUUUCGGCCGGGAAGAAAUCGCACGGGCUAAUACCCUGUGUGGAUGACGGUGCCGGAAUAAGAAGCACCGGCUAACUACGUGCCAGCCGCCGCAGUAACAC
rnacentral:rRNA from 1 species